CGACUUAUAUUCUGUAGCAAGGUUAACCGAAUAGGGGAGCCGAAGGGAAACCGAGUCUUAACUGGGCGUUAAGUUGCAGGGUAUAGACCCGAAACCCGGUGAUCUAGCCAUGGGCAGGUUGAAGGUUGGGUAACACUAACUGGAGGACCGAACCGACUAAUGUUGAAAAAUUAGCGGAUGACUUGUGGCUGGGGGUGAAAGGCCAAUCAAACCGGGAGAUAGCUGGUUCUCCCCGAAAGCUAUUUAGGUAGCGCCUCGUGAAUUCAUCUCCGGGGGUAGAGCACUGUUUCGGCAAGGGGGUCAUCCCGACUUACCAACCCGAUGCAAACUGCGAAUACCGGAGAAUGUUAUCACGGGAGACACACGGCGGGUGCUAACGUCCGUCGUGAAGAGGGAAACAACCCAGACCGCCAGCUAAGGUCCCAAAGUCAUGGUUAAGUGGGAAACGAUGUGGGAAGGCCCAGACAGCCAGGAUGUUGGCUUAGAAGCAGCCAUCAUUUAAAGAAAGCGUAAUAGCUCACUGGUCGAGUCGGCCUGCGCGGAAGAUGUAACGGGGCUAAACCAUGCACCGAAGCUGCGGCAGCGACACUGUGUGUUGUUGGGUAGGGGAGCGUUCUGUAAGCCUGUGAAGGUGUGCUGUGAGGCAUGCUGGAGGUAUCAGAAGUGCGAAUGCUGACAUAAGUAACGAUAAAGCGGGUGAAAAGCCCGCUCGCCGGAAGACCAAGGGUUCCUGUCCAACGUUAAUCGGGGCAGGGUGAGUCGACCCCUAAGGCGAGGCCGAAAGGCGUAGUCGAUGGGAAACAGGUUAAUAUUCCUGUACUUGGUGUUACUGCGAAGGGGGGACGGAGAAGGCUAUGUUGGCCGGGCGACGGUUGUCCCGGUUUAAGCGUGUAGGCUGGUUUUCCAGGCAAAUCCGGAAAAUCAAGGCUGAGGCGUGAUGACGAGGCACUACGGUGCUGAAGCAACAAAUGCCCUGCUUCCAGGAAAAGCCUCUAAGCAUCAGGUAACAUCAAAUCGUACCCCAAACCGACACAGGUGGUCAGGUAGAGAAUACCAAGGCGCUUGAGAGAACUCGGGUGAAGGAACUAGGCAAAAUGGUGCCGUAACUUCGGGAGAAGGCACGCUGAUAUGUAGGUGAAGUCCCUCGCGGAUGGAGCUGAAAUCAGUCGAAGAUACCAGCUGGCUGCAACUGUUUAUUAAAAACACAGCACUGUGCAAACACGAAAGUGGACGUAUACGGUGUGACGCCUGCCCGGUGCCGGAAGGUUAAUUGAUGGGGUCAGCGCAAGCGAAGCUCUUGAUCGAAGCCCCGGUAAACGGCGGCCGUAACUAUAACGGUCCUAAGGUAGCGAAAUUCCUUGUCGGGUAAGUUCCGACCUGCACGAAUGGCGUAAUGAUGGCCAGGCUGUCUCCACCCGAGACUCAGUGAAAUUGAACUCGCUGUGAAGAUGCAGUGUACCCGCGGCAAGACGGAAAGACCCCGUGAACCUUUACUAUAGCUUGACACUGAACAUUGAGCCUUGAUGUGUAGGAUAGGUGGGAGGCUUUGAAGUGUGGACGCCAGUCUGCAUGGAGCCGACCUUGAAAUACCACCCUUUAAUGUUUGAUGUUCUAACGUGGACCCGUGAUCCGGGUUGCGGACAGUGUCUGGUGGGUAGUUUGACUGGGGCGGUCUCCUCCUAAAGAGUAACGGAGGAGCACGAAGGUUGGCUAAUCCUGGUCGGACAUCAGGAGGUUAGUGCAAUGGCAUAAGCCAGCUUGACUGCGAGCGUGACGGCGCGAGCAGGUGCGAAAGCAGGUCAUAGUGAUCCGGUGGUUCUGAAUGGAAGGGCCAUCGCUCAACGGAUAAAAGGUACUCCGGGGAUAACAGGCUGAUACCGCCCAAGAGUUCAUAUCGACGGCGGUGUUUGGCACCUCGAUGUCGGCUCAUCACAUCCUGGGGCUGAAGUAGGUCCCAAGGGUAUGGCUGUUCGCCAUUUAAAGUGGUACGCGAGCUGGGUUUAGAACGUCGUGAGACAGUUCGGUCCCUAUCUGCCGUGGGCGCUGGAGAACUGAGGGGGGCUGCUCCUAGUACGAGAGGACCGGAGUGGACGCAUCACUGGUGUUCGGGUUGUCAUGCCAAUGGCACUGCCCGGUAGCUAAAUGCGGAAGAGAUAAGUGCUGAAAGCAUCUAAGCACGAAACUUGCCCCGAGAUGAGUUCUCCCUGACCCUUUAAGGGUCCUGAAGGAACGUUGAAGACGACGACGUUGAUAGGCCGGGUGUGUAAGCGCAGCGAUGCGUUGAGCUAACCGGUACUAAUGAACCGUGAGGCUUAACCU
rnacentral:rRNA from 1 species